CAGGGCAGGGCGGGGCGGGGCCUGCGUCACGGGGCGGGGAGACGCACUCGGCCACCGCCCCGGCUCCCUUUCCUGGGCCGGGCGGUGCGGUAGACCCUGACCUGCGGGCCUCGGAGGGGAAGCCCUGCGCCCUGGUGCCCGGCCCGGAGCCCACGCGGGACUGGGAAGGCGCCGAGCCUCCCUAGGAGCUGCCGGGGGGAGGCGACCCCAGAACAGCGUCCCGGAGAGCCGCCGGCGGGGUGUGGGGCCGGGUCCCCCAGCAGCGAGGGGCCCCAAAGCCGACCGGAGCGCUUGGGACGUUAAGCGCCCUUCUUCCGGUCUGUGAGCUUCGGCGGCGGCGCCGGCCCUUCCUUUAGCCCUCUCGGGACCGUUACGUGAACCCGCACUGCCUUCUUCCCUUCCGGGACCCCUGCACAGGCCCCGCGCCCGCCCCGACUCGGAACCGAGGGGAAAGAAAGGCGCGGCGGCAGGAAAACGGGAGAGGUCUAGGCCGGCCGGGGCUGCUGGAGGACUCAGCCCAGCUCUGGAGUGGACAAGUGCAGGCCGCGGCUUUUCAUCCAGAUAAAACAGUGAGCUCAGCAGAGUCCGAAGCUUAUCUCUGUUACCCAGCUUAGCCACACGGAAGCUCUAAGAAUUCACCUUCCAAAAUACUUCGUUUUUGAUUAAAAUAUAUAUAGAUGCUUUAUAACUGCCCAAAUAAGUACAGUGCUGUAAAGGGAAAAGAAAAAAGAAAUGCAUGAUGCAUUUACUCAGUUUAGAAAGGAGAUCUAUGCAAAAACCGAAAUAUUAUUUAAAAAAAUCAAAUCUGCAAAUUUGUGGGGGUUUUUUUGAGGCAGGGUCUCCCUUUGUAGUUCAGGCUGGCCCUGAACUCACGAUGUAGCCUAGGCUGGCCUCGAACUCACAGCGAUCCUCCUGCCACAGCCUUCCCAGUGCUGGGAUCACAAGCAUGCACCACCACGCCCGGCAAAUCUGCAAAUUUAUAACAUGCUAUUUUAGCCAGCGGCCCCCACUCAUUGUGUUCCAGUCCCUUCGUGCACGUGCCAUGUCUCCCUGAAGUGGAGAUGCCUCCCCACAUUUUGCAGAUGAGGAAUCAGCCCAAGAGGCUUUCUUUUAUUUAACCAAAAUCGGUGCAGUUAACAAAUGCGCAGGCCACCACCCAAACCUAGUUUGACUCGGAAGCCCAGACUUCUCCCCUGUCAUGCUACAUUUUGCUGUGUUGGCGUCAGUCAACAGAUUUCUCCUGUGUGGAGGAGACUGAGGUGUUUGGGGUGGUGAUUUGGAAACCCAGGCGCUUCUACUUUGAGCGGAAGUUCCCAGUCUUCAUACUUGAGAUCCUGAAACCCAGCCUAGUGUCCCCAUCUUAUAUUGAUGAAAAAGUUUAGGGCUAAAAUAUCUAUGGAGCUCUCCGGUUCCAAAGUGAUAAACAUAGGCCCCAAGGUAAAAAUAGAAAACAUGAUGUUGGCGGAGCAAAAUCGUCUCUCAACCUCUUCCCAAUAACUAAAUCAAGACUAAUCAAGGGGAGCACACGGAAGGGGUCAAUAUUUGUGCUCAAGAGUCCAUAAUUCAGUAGGGAGGUUUUAUGUAAUAAUCGCUAGGAAAAUGCCCUAGCGGAGGGGGAGGGCUGGGGCUUGGAGAGGAGCUCUGCCUGCUGGUUGGGCCAUAGCGAUAAAUGUUUGAGGAGAUAAGGCAAAGAGCACAGGGAGAUAAGGAAGCCGACACUGGAAGACAAGAUGAGGCCCAGCUGACUAUACAAUAUCAGGGUGACUAAGGUUAGGGAACAGAAAUAGCUUUAAUUUCAGUGGGGAUGUAUAUAUACUGGGGAUUGAAACCAGGGCCUUUGCACUAAACUGCCCUAGACCUUUCUUUCUUCCCUUUAUGGUUUUUUGAGAGAAUCUCGAUAGAUAGUCCAGGCUGGCCUUGAACUCUCUAUGUAGCCCAUGAUGUCCUUGAACUCAGAAUCAUCCUGCGUCAGCCUCCUGAGUGCUGGAAUUACAGGCAUUCACCACCAUGCCUGGCCAUAACCUUUCUUUUUUUAAAUGGGUCUCGCUAAGUUGCAAAAUUGCCCAGGCUUAGCCUAUUGAAGAUGUGUGCCAUUCUCUAAUUUUAAUUCCUAAAACAGUAAGGCUUUGGGGGGGGGGUGCCUGAUUGGUAAAGGGUUUGGCUCACGUGCAAGGCCCUGGGUUUGAGCCCCAGCACCACUAAACAAAUCGAUAUUGAGGGAACAGUCGCGUUAUUGCUAAGCACAAAGGAAUCUCCGGCACAGUCGUCACAGACCUUUGGAUUUUCAUUCCUCCUUUGAACCAAGAAGUUUCCAAAGAGCCACCUUAGAUAAGAAGCAGAAUUUGGUGCCUUUGGUGACUAAUAGGAGAGGAAGCCAAGACAAGCUUGAGAUGACUCCAGAGUCUGAAGUCUGUGAGCCUGCCCGCCCUGCUCCAGGAGAAGAGUGGCUGACAGAUUCUCAGAAUUCCAGAUGAGCCCAAAGCUGUCAUGUGGAUGACCUCUACCCUGCUCAAUGAAUCCCAGCGGAAUAUUGUGCCAGGAGAAGGUGGCAGACAGAAGUGACCAAGAGUGCCAUCCACUUAGCUGUUGUCUGCGGACUUGGUUGUCUCUGGAGCGUUGUAGCGGAACCCAGCCUGUGUUUGCUGCUGUAAAUGAACCACAGCCGGGGUUCACUUUGCUGGUGUUUUCGGGAGGGAAGGCUUUGUGACUCAGCACCUGGAAGCUGCUUCUCUACAUUGGCUCCUCCUCCUCACCUUUCCCAACUCGGCUAAGGCAAAGUCUCUCUGUGCUGUGGCCAACACCUACCUGGACACGUGGGUGCAGCUGGCUCAAAGUCAGGCAUAGGUUUCAGCAGAGGAGUGGGAAAAAAACCCCUCAAAACAAACUUCUUCUAUUUAUUCCUUGAAAUGUUAUCUUAUAAAGCUAUCCUGACAUACCAGAUGUUUCUGAAGAGUUUGUGGUAAGAGAUCUUAUUGUGUGAGGGAAAUUUUUAAUAAACUAAAAGUAAAAUAACACAAACUCUUGGCUAGAGUUGUAACCAUUGCUCAAGAGAAAACAAGAAAAAAG
rnacentral:lncRNA from 1 species